rnacentral:rRNA from 1 species
CCUGGCUCAGGAUGAACGCUAGCGGCAGGCUUAACACAUGCAAGUCGAGGGGCAGCAGUCUGUAGCAAUACGGAGCUGGCGACCGGCGCAAGGGUGCGUAACGCGUGAGCAACUUGCCCGUAACAGGAGGAUAACCGGAGGAAACUCCGACUAAUACUGCGUAGCAAUACCCGGUGGCAUCGCCGGGUGUUUAAAGGCGAAAGCCGGUUACGGAUAGGCUCGCGUGACAUUAGCUGGAUGGCGGGGUAACGGCCCACCAUGGCGACGAUGUCUAGGGGUUCUGAGAGGAAGGUCCCCCACACUGGUACUGAGACACGGACCAGACUCCUACGGGAGGCAGCAGUGAGGAAUAUUGGACAAUGGCCGGAAGGCUGAUCCAGCCAUGCCGCGUGCGGGAAGACGGCCCUAUGGGUUGUAAACCGCUUUUUGUUGGGGAGCAAUAAGGUCCACGUGUGGAUUGAUGAGAGUACCCAGCGAAUAAGCAUCGGCUAACUCCGUGCC